rnacentral:rRNA from 1 species
UGCCUACGGGGGGCUGCAGUGGGGAAUAUUGGACAAUGGGGGCAACCCUGAUCCAGCCAUGCCGCGUGUGUGAAGAAGGCCUUUUGGUUGUAAAGCACUUUAAGCAGGGAGGAGAGGCUAAUGGUUAAUACCCAUUAGAUUAGACGUUACCUGCAGAAUAAGCACCGGCUAACUCUGUGCCAGCAGCCGCGGUAAUACAGAGGGUGCGAGCGUUAAUCGGAAUUACUGGGCGUAAAGCGAGUGUAGGUGGCUCCUUAAGUCACAUGUGAAAUCCCCGGGCUUAACCUGGGAACUGCAUGUGAUACUGGUGGUGCUAGAAUAUGUGAGAGGGAAGUAGAAUUCCAGGUGUAGCGGUGAAAUGCGUAGAGAUCUGGAGGAAUACCGAUGGCGAAGGCAGCUUCCUGGCAUAAUAUUGACACUGAGAUUCGAAAGCGUGGGUAGCAAACAGGAUUAGAUACCCGAGUAGUCU